GACGAACGCUGGCGGCGUGCCUAAUACAUGCAAGUCGAACGCAGUGGGGACGGUGGAGUAACACGUGGGUAACCUGCCAUCAGAGGGGAUAACACUUGGCAACAGGUGCUAAACCGGUACUGAUGUAGGGACCCGCGGGGAAUUAGCUAGUUGGAGAGGUAACGGCUCACCAAGGCCACGAUGCGUAGCCGGCCUGAUAGGAUGAUCGGCCACACUGGGACUGAGACACGGCCCAGAAUCCUACGGGAGGCAGCAGUAGGGAAUCUUCGGCAAUGGACGAAAGUCUGACCGAGCCACGCCGCGUGAGUGAAGAAGGUUUUCGGAUCGUAAAACUCUGUUGUUAGAGAAGCGUUAUCUAACCAGAAAGCAACGGCUAACUACGUGCCAGCAGCCGCGGUAAUAC
rnacentral:rRNA from 1 species